rnacentral:rRNA from 1 species
AGCGUAGGCGGGAAAUUAAGUUAAGUGUGAAAGCCUUGGGCUUAACCCAAGAAAUGCACUUAAUACUGGUUUUCUAGAGUGUAGGAGAGGUAAGUGGAAUUCCUAGUGUAGCGGUAAAAUGCGUAGAGAUUAGGAGGAACAUCAGAGGCGAAGGCGGCUUACUGGACUAUAACUGACGCUGAGGCUCGAAAGCGUGGGGAGCAAACAA